GCAUUGGUGGUUCAGUGGUAGAAUUCUAGCUUGCCAUGUUGAGGCCUGGGUUCGAUUCCCAGCCAAUGCA
rnacentral:tRNA from 1 species